rnacentral:rRNA from 1 species
CCUACGGGAGGCAGCAGUGAGGAAUAUUGGUCAAUGGGCGCGAGCCUGAACCAGCCAAGUAGCGUGAAGGAUGACUGCCCUACGGGUUGUAAACUUCUUUUAUAAAGGAAUAAAGUGCGGCACGUGUGCCUUUUUGUGUGUACCUUAUGAAUAAGGAUCGGCUAACUCCGUGCCAGCAGCCGCGGUAAUACGGAGGAUCCGAGCGUUAUCCGGAUUUAUUGGGGUUAAAGGGUGCGUAGAUGGGUUGUUAAGUCAGUUGUGAAAUUUUGCGGCUCAACCUUAACAGUGCAUUUGAUACUGGCAGCCUUGAGUACAGUAGAGGUAGGCGGAAUGCGUGGUGUAGCGGUGAAAUGCUUAGAUAUCACGAAGAACUCCGAUUGCGAAGGCAGCUUACUAGACUGCAACUGACGUUGAUGCUCGAAAGUGUGGGUAUCGAACAGGAUUAGAUACCCGGGUAGUC